rnacentral:misc_RNA from 1 species
AUGGUCGCUUGCGCUGCGCUCUCCUCCUUGCAGCCACCAAAUCACUUGGCGGUUUCAAUGGCUGCGUCUGCUCAAAAUGUUGAAGAAAUCAAAAAACGGCUUCAAAUAGCCGCUGAAAAUGAUGAUCAGACGUUGUGCGAAUCACUGCUCAACGAAGUUCGGCCGUUGGUGACGAGUCGAGAAAUUUUAGAGGAAACUCGAAUUGGAUUCGUCGUCAAUCAGCUUCGGAGGCAGUACUUCAAAAAGUGGCCAGCUCUUUUGAGGAUAAGUAGAGAAGUUAUCAAAUCGUGGUCCGAAAUCGUGUGCGAUGAGGUUAAAAGGCCGCAAAGUGGAGCUUCUUCUCGAAAUACAACACCGAAUGUUCUUUCUCCGAGUGUCGCCAGCGAACGGUUCAUAUGCUCCACGUAGUCAAGUUUCGCCUGGCGAGUCGACUCCUGUUGCUGCCUCCGUCGUUGUGAACGGAAUGCACAAGUCAGCGUCAGUUGGUGGAGAUCUUCUGAAACAUGCAACAGCAUCACUUUCUACAAAACCAAUCACACCAAAGGAGAAUGGAAAACGGAAAGCCGUCGAUGAAGCUGCUGCUCCCUCAAUCAAGAGAACCAAAACGGCUGCUGCUGCACUUUCAGUAUCAAUUACUCCUGGAACUCCAACAACAAUGGCUCCACAAACGCCUACCAUGUCUGUUUCUGCUGCUAGAAAAGCUGUUCAGAGCACUAGUGAGCUCUUCGCUCAAAUGAGCCAGACACUUCCUGGGCACAUUGACAUCGGUACAGACAUUCGGGAGCACGAGGAACGUGUGAAAAGAGAGCUCAAAGAUGAAGAGCUGGCACACAGUCUUCAAUCGUCUGCUAGCUACGGAAACUUCGGUUCAGCAACAACAACUGAACGGAAAAAGCGGAAAUACGAGCGAAAAAUUCAGAAGGGCACUGCACCGGGCACUCCAGCAGCAGUGGCAUCCCCCUUGUUGCAGACGACAACGAUGGUCACGCCUCCGUCUUCAAAUAAUAUUCCUGAAGAACGUCUUCCUUCGCUGGUCAUCCGCCUUGGUAAAAACGGUCUCACUUCAGCUGCUUCAACUCCAGCAUUUGUUUCAUCAGAAGAAUCCGCAAAAAGGAAAUAUGAGAAGAGCAUUCGUUCAAUACCACGUUCAACGACUCCUCCACCUACAGCUAGAAUGCAGGAAAAAGAACGAGAGAAAGAAGAGAUGAAACGUGAGAAAGAGCGACAAGAAGCUAUCAGAAGAAGAGAGCAAGAAGAAGAAGAGGAAGAAGAAAUAGUCGAUGAUAAGCCUAAACCUGUUCUAAGUAAGCUGAAAGACUGGAAAUCAUUGAUUCCAUCGAUGGAAGAGCUCCGAAUUCGUGCUCAACUCGCUGAAAAAGAAACUAAAAAAGUACUUGAAGUUUCUGCCGUUAAAACGAAAAAGGAUCCGACGAAAGUGCAGCUGGUGAAGAAUUUCCGAAGACCAAUUUUGAUUCUUCCAUAUCUGGAAAAUCCAACGGGACCGGACUUUUUAUUACACAAAUAUCCCAACAGUCUACAAUACUACUCGGAAGACAAUUUUAGGUUUGGAGAGAAACGUCCCACUGCGUAA